AUGUAACUUCGUGUCAUCGAAGAGUAAAAUCGCUUUCUCUGAUAAUCCUUUGGAUCUCAAAAAAUUACUAACAUUUGGCACGAAAUUGUCCUUGAACCAUGUUUCAAAAAUAGCCGCGUUCAUCACGGCAUUUGGAUGGUACGAAACCAUCCGUCGCUCGCCUUGAAGGUUUCCAUACCCCCGAAACGUUGAAAAAAUUCUUGCGCUUUCGCUGACAAAAUGAAUUUCCAAGAGUACACAUUUCAGAAAACGCAAGCCUUCUUUCACGAUGAAACCAAAUUGUCAGCGCUUCGUUCACCUUCUCCACGGGGGACGGUCGUAUACGUUUGAAUUCCGACGAAUCGGUCACUAACUGUACUACAUACUUUGGCUGCUAACUGAUUUUGCAACUUCAGAUUCGCUAUGUGCAAGAAUUCUUUUGAAUGUAUAAUUGAAAGAGCUGGAAUCAUUGUUAUCUUUCUAUGAAGAAGAGCUACCUCCGUUAUCAUUUUGUGCUCCUGUUACUGAAGAAGUAAUUGUUACCAGUAAUAUGUACAGGGAGAGGAAGUCGUCAUACCUCUUCUGAUUUUCUGUAUUCUCAAUCCAAAGAGGUUCAUCCAAAAUUGAGUCUGGCAACCUUUCUACAUUGUUAAAUGUAACAGAAAUACCGUCGUGUUCUCCCCAUUCACUGGUUACAAGGAACGGUCUCUCAGAUGUUAAAUUAUUUUCCAGGCUUUCGUUUUGCAAGGAUAUUUCAUUCACGGGCCUCCGAAUUAGUCUACUGGAAACGUUGAAGGGUAAGCGAAUCGAUGAUUGCAGCCAAUCAUUUCUAGACAAGAUACACAUUUCAUCAGGAAGAACAAUAAUGGCCAGGAAAGGAUAAGAACCAGAUUUAAGAGCUUCUGCCACUUUGUAUCCUUCGCCUGAUUGCACGUUACAUGCCCAAAACAAUGUAUGCACAUUUAUGUACCGAACAACUUCUACAUUACCUAAUGUGUUCCUGUAAAUGAAAAUACAUAUGUGCUUAUUCCUUUGUAUAAAAUUAUAUAUUACAAAUAUGGAAAUGCUUGCAAGAUUACCUGCACCAUUGAUCAAUAUUCUGAGCUUCAUCUUUAUGCAAGUAUACCAAUAGAAAUCUUAGUUCUUGCUUUGCAUCAGAAAGAGCUUGACUAUAUGAACCUUGAUAAAAAACAGGAUGACUACUACCGUAACGUUCUUCAUAAGAUUGAAUGAAAUUGAUUACAUCUUCCACUGGAUCAGCAGAUACUUAAAAUAUGAUUAAUACAUUAAUAUUUUUUAAAAAAUUCUUCUGUAUAAUUGAUCAGAAGAACAGUAAAAAUUUACCAGGUCUAACAUUUCUCCUAAAUAUUGAAAGAAGUAAUUGUAGGAUACGGAUUACUCUUUCAUAACAUAAUGAAAAGAUAUACCACAGGUAACUACCACUACCGCUAGAACUUCCAGCAUAAUGAAAAUAUAUUCUAGAAUUGCUGUCGUCUACAACUUGUGGUGGUCUUGACCUUGAGUCCUGCGCAUACAUUGACGGUCUUCCCUCAUACAGAUUUAAUUGUUCCUAAAUAAAUAAAAAAGAAAAGAUAUUAUAUAAACAAUGAAAAACAACAUAUACUGGUCUUCAAGGAUUCCUUGGGUAUUUGUAACAUAUUAUUGAUACUUUAAUUGCACGAUCGAUCAACAUAUUCUGAAGAAAUAUUGUUUCAGUUUUUCCAAAACAAAUACAUUUAUGGAUCCAUUUCAGGGAAGGUUUAAAAAAUAGAGAGGAAAAAAGAUCUACCUGAACAGCUACUUCUAAAUUCCAGUUAUGCCUUUGCAAAACAUCCCUGCAGAUUGACAGGUCUUCUAUACCGGUCAAAUCCUAAAAUGAUCAGAAUGACAUUAUAAUUUGAACCAACAGACAUGGCAGUGAAAUAUUAUGAAACAAUGAUUCUCACCUGGAACUGGAGGAUUUUUUCAGUCUGUUCACUGCUAAAUUCGUUCAACGCGAAAUCUGCCAUAUCAACGUAUUUUGUCAGCAAAAGACUAGAUAAACUUUCGAUGAUCGUUUAGUCACUCAGUCCUAAAGAAUAAUUCUAAAUUCAUCAGCUGAUACAAAAGCCUGGCACUCGAACAAAAUUACGAUCAAACUGCACAAGCAUUUGGAGCGUGAUAUAAAGAAGCGGUUUUUGGUUUAUGGACCUCGCUUCAUUAUCAUCGCGACACGUUUUCUCUCGUUACUCUGUUCUAUACUCAAUGUUUUCGAUAUCAUGACUUUUUACGAUAAUUUACAAUUUCAAGGUUCUAUUUCAUGCGGUACGAUUUUAAGUGACGUCAGCUGCAUGCAUUGGUGAAACGCAGUGAAACGAUAGUCAACAGUCAUUCUGUAUUGCCAUUGGUGGAACGUUACUUUUUCGGGUAACUAAUAAUCUAUAAAAUUAAUUGGUUAACAUACAAUUUAUGUAAAAACAGACAACAAAUGAUUGUAUAAAGUAUGUAGAAGUGGAUCUUCAAUUUAUUGAAGUACAUGAAGUAAAUGGAAUAAAUAUCAAAAUGUA